UACGAAGGGGGCUAGCGUUGCUCGGAAUCACUGGGCGUAAAGCGCACGUAGGCGGCCUUCUAAGUCAGGGGUGAAAUCCUGGAGCUCAACUCCAGAACUGCCUUUGAUACUGGAGAGCUUGAGUCCGGGAGAGGUGAGUGGAACUCCGAGUGUAGAGGUGAAAUUCGUAGAUAUUCGGAAGAACACCAGUGGCGAAGGCGGCUCACUGGCCCGGUACUGACGCUGAUGUGCGAAAGCGUGGGGAGCAAACAGG
rnacentral:rRNA from 1 species